AGCGAACGCUGGCGGCAGGCUUAACACAUGCAAGUCGAGCGGGCACUUUCGGGUGUCAGCGGCGGACGGGUGAGUAACGCGUGGGAACGUGCCCUCUGGUUCGGAAUAACUCAGGGAAACUUGAGCUAAUACCGGAUACGCCCUUUUGGGGAAAGGCUUGCUGCCGGAGGAUCGGCCCGCGUCUGAUUAGCUAGUUGGUGAGGUAACGGCUCACCAAGGCGACGAUCAGUAGCUGGUCUGAGAGGAUGAUCAGCCACACUGGGACUGAGACACGGCCCAGACUCCUACGGGAGGCAGCAGUGGGGAAUAUUGGACAAUGGGCGCAAGCCUGAUCCAGCCAUGCCGCGUGAGUGAUGAAGGCCUUAGGGUUGUAAAGCUCUUUUAUCCGGGACGAUAAUGACGGUACCGGAGGAAUAAGCCCCGUCUAACUUCGUG
rnacentral:rRNA from 1 species